rnacentral:sRNA from 1 species
GAUAACAUCCAGGGCAUCACGAAACCGG